ensembl:lncRNA
GAGGGAAAAGGGCCAAACCACAACGUGUUUAAAAGGGAACCAGUGGCAUCCAGUGUGCCGUAGACGAGCUGAGCAGGACGGACUAACAAAGCCGUGGACUGUUGUGAGCGUGUUAGUCCAGCAGGUCUGUGCUUUAGUUACAGUGACGCUCCAGCCACGGAGCUGCGUUUCAUUACCAGCACACGCGUGUUGUGUAUUGACAGACGUGUUGGAGCAGUCAGGAGGGACGGGAUCGGUCAUAAGAGGUGCUGCCUCUCACUUUUGUACUUAAUUAACCUUCCAUAAUGUCUGCUAAACUUUUGACUGGUGCGUCAUCUUGUCAGAUCUGUACGUUUGAGCUUUAGCUCGACCCUGUUAACUAUUUAUCUUUUUAAAAAUCAAGGAGUUGUAACAAAUUGUACUUUUGACCAUUGGGACAUUUUAAGUGCGUUCAUGUUCAGCAUGUUAAGACUUAUGACGAUUACCGUAUUUUCCGCACUAUACGGCGCACCUUCAAAGAAUGACCUAUUUAAAACAUUUUCAUUUUCAGUUGCAUCGCGUGCAGCACGUGACCGCUCGCGCAAGAAGGUGGAACAAGGGAGACCCCAUUUCCAAGACUUAAGGGCGGAAUAACUAGUUUGUGAAAGACUCAAACACACAUUUUGUAGUUUACCAGUCGUACCGAAACAUAUUUAUUAUUAUUGGUUUUUCAUACUGAAACAUUUUGACAGCCGUGUACAACCAGUGUGGAUCAACCAAUUGAUCCACAUACAAGGCGCUCGGGAUUAUAAGACGCACGGUCGUUUUUUGAGAAAAUUAAAGGCUUUUAAGAGCGGGAAAAAAAGCGGUGUAUAGAACAGCCUGAUGUUUUCUGUUUUAGUUGACAAACACUCACCGGACACGUCACUAGGUGCACCGUACUAGUGAGAGUUUGGACCCCUUUUGCCUUCAGCACUGCCUUGGUUCCUCCUGGCAUACUUUCACUUUCACACAUGUUGGUCCGUACUGACAUGGUGGCGUCACGCAGCUGCUGAAGCUCCCGUUGCAGCACGUCCCAGAGGUCUAUUGGCUUGAGAUGUGGUGUCGCUCACUUAAAUGUUCUCUAUUUGGGCCUUUCUGUGUAGAUGAGCAGUCAGUGACGUGCUCCAACAAUCCACGUUAAGGUCACGUGAUGCCCUUUCUACCCCGUUGUCAUGCUCGCGUUGUACCUCCGUUCUCUUCCCCACGUCUACGCGCACAAACGCAUUGAGUUGCUGCCAUUGCUGAUUAGCAAACAAUUUAGCAGGUGUACCUACUAAAGUGGCCUGUGGUGUGUACAUGAAUAGACAUAUAUCUGGUAGUGAAGUAUUGUGGUAAUAUUGGUAUAAAGGUAAAUACAACAGUUAAUGCGCACGUGAAAUCAAGAAAAAUGACUCGUCCAACUGAUUUAAAACAUACAAGAGGUUCCAUCCAUCCAGCACACGCUGUGUCCCGUCUCCCUGAUGGUCCCCAGAGGGCUUUACAGUGUGCACACGGCCGCCGUCCCUGAACCGCGUGUCAUUAAAUGAACGCGCUGUUUGUUCUGGCGUCCUGACUCACGGACGGGUUUCACCUGAAGACUGAACACCUGCUGGGCCUCAUCGCUUACCUUGUUCUGAGAACACGAAGGAGGCCGCGGGGUCCUGGUGCUGGACUCAGAAGAAAGCAGCAGGAUCGAAAGAAAUAAAAAAACCCAAAAUAAACAAAGAAAACCGAGUAACUCAAAGAUGCACAUUUGGACGAUCUGUACAGAAGUGAUUGUACAAUUUAUAAUUUUGAUAAAUAUAAUAUAUUAUUUUUCACAUUGUGUUUUGCCUUCUGUGAAACGGUCUCACAACGUGAUGUAACGUGGCUGAUGGACAAAGAUGGCUGGAACUGGAGAGUCAAAUUUACACCACUAGAUGAUAAGACUGUUGUUUCCCUGUGUGUGUGUGUGUGUGUGUGUGUGUGAAAGCAUUGAUAAGAGCUGUGCUAAGAGGUGCUAAAGUAGAGCAGGUUGGACUUGAACAGAAUGUGUGUGUGUGUGUGUGUGUGUGCGUGUGUGUGUGUGAGCAGGAGACAUCAGAGCACACAGUGUCCUCAAUGAUUAACACAUAAAGGGGACAUCAAUGAUACCAAAUGCAUGCGUCAAAACAGACAGACCAUACGAUGUCACCACCGACCCACCGACCAAUGGUGGAGGUGACGGGUGCUCAUAAGACGGGGCUCUGCAGUUAUUUCAGGGUGUUCCCAGAGAGCAUCCUCCAUCAGAACCACAGAACCAUCAGGACCAUCAGACCCAUCAGGACCAUCAGACCCAUCAGACCCAUCAGGACCAUCAGAACCAUCAGGACCAUCAGACCCAUCAGACCCAUCAGACCCAUCAGGACCAUCAGGACCAUCAGACCCUUCAGGACCAUCAGACCCAUCAGACCCAUCAGGACCAUCAGGACCAUCAGACCAUCAGACCCAUCAGGACCAUCAGGACCAUCAGACCCAUCAGGACCAUCAGACCCAUCAGACCCAUCAGGAC